CAAGGUAUCACAAUCAUUGUUUUUCCAGUUGCUAUUGUUGCGUUGUUUUAGUCAGCAUUCACAUUUUCUAGUGUGAUGCAUAAAGGUAAACAUCAUCCAGCAAAGCAAUUGAUAAACGUGUUAUAAAACUUGUAUUCAGUGUUGACGCAUUAAAUCUACACAACGAGGAUUUUUCUGAAUCCAUAGAGUAGAGUCAAUUGUGCAUGAGAAUAUAAUAGUUAAGUUCAAUGUUUUUGCAAUGUAGGAAACGUAGUUUGAAGCCGCUGCAUCAAAAGUUUAUGAGUCAUAUUUGAAGAGGGUUAAAGUUUCUUCACUUCCUGUGGUACCCUACGAUGAUGCAGAUAAAUUUUAUCAGAGUGAGCUUGAAGAUUAUCCGAGGACAUAAUGC